rnacentral:rRNA from 1 species
UGGUGGCGAGUGGCGAACGGGUGAGUAAUACAUCGGAACGUGUCCUGUAGUGGGGGAUAGCCCGGCGAAAGCCGGAUUAAUACCGCAUACGCUCUACGGAGGAAAGGGGGGGAUCUUAGGACCUCUCGCUACAGGGGCGGCCGAUGGCAGAUUAGCUAGUUGGUGGGGUAAAGGCCUACCAAGGCGACGAUCUGUAGCUGGUCUGAGAGGACGACCAGCCACACUGGGACUGAGACACGGCCCAGACUCCUACGGGAGGCAGCAGUGGGGAAUUUUGGACAAUGGGGGCAACCCUGAUCCAGCAAUGCCGCGUGUGUGAAGAAGGCCUUCGGGUUGUAAAGCACUUUUGU